CCUACGGGAGGCAGCAGUGGGGAAUUUUGGACAAUGGGGGCAACCCUGAUCCAGCCAUGCCGCGUGCGGGAAGAAGGCCUUCGGGUUGUAAACCGCUUUCGGCCGGAACGAAAUCGCUCGGGUGAACAUCCCGGGUGGAUGACGGUACCGGAAGAAGAAGCACCGGCUAACUACGUGCCAGCAGCCGCGGUAAUACGUAGGGUGCGAGCGUUAAUCGGAAUUACUGGGCGUAAAGCGUGCGCAGGCGGUCUCGUAAGACAGGUGUGAAAUCCCCGGGCUUAACCUGGGAACUGCGCUUGUGACUGCGAGGCUGGAGUGCGGAAGAGGGAGGUGGAAUUCCACGUGUAGCAGUGAAAUGCGUAGAGAUGUGGAGGAACACCGAUGGCGAAGGCAGCCUCCUGGUCCAGCACUGACGCUCAUGCACGAAAGCGUGGGGAGCAAACAGGAUUAGAUACCCUGGUAGUCCACGCCCUAAACGAUGACGACUAGUUGUUGGGGUAGAAGUACCUUAGUAACGCAGCUAACGCGUGAAGUCGUCCGCCUGGGGAGUACGGUCGCAAGAUUAAAACUCAAAGGAAUUGACGG
rnacentral:rRNA from 1 species